GACGGAGGGUGCUAGCGUUGUUCGGAAUCACUGGGCGUAAAGGGCGCGUAGGCGGCUUUGGCAGUCGGUUGGUGAAAGCCCGGGGCUCAACCCCGGAGGUGCGGCCGAAACACCAAGGCUGGAGGCCGGAAGAGGAGGGUGGAAUACCCAGUGUAGAGGUGAAAUUCGUAGAUAUUGGGUGGAACACCGGUGGCGAAAGCGGCUCUCUGGUCCGGACCUGACGCUGAGGCGCGAAAGCGUGGGGAGCAAACAGG
rnacentral:rRNA from 1 species